UCCAUCUUCCUCAACUCCUUCUUUAUCAUCAUCCAACCCCCCUGCAACUUUUAAGCCAACUUUCACUCCGGCUUCCUCAAAUCUCAUAAAAAUUCCUGAAGUCCAAAGAUCCUAUUAUGAAUCGUCUCCAUCACCCUCUAAGAACCUUCAAUCUUUUAAGCCAACACUGUCUCCAGCUUACUCAAAUUUUAUCAAAAUGCCUGAAGUCCAAAGGUCCUGUUACGAAUCAUCUCCAUCACCCUCCAAGAACCUUCCAUCUUUUAAGCCAACACUGGCUCCAGCUUCCUCAAAUGUCACAGGUCAACAGACAGAAGACAAUUAUGUAUUAGUUCAAAAGGAUGCAGAACCUAUUUAUAUGAUUCCCAAGGAUAUACAGGAUUUGAUCAAGAAAGACAUG
rnacentral:lncRNA from 1 species